rnacentral:lncRNA from 1 species
UUUUUUUUUUUUUUUUGUCUUUUUCUAGGUCUGCUUCCCACAGCAUAUGGAGGUUCCCAGGCUAGGGAUCAAAUCAGAGCUGUAGCCACCAGCCUACACCAGAGCCACAGCAAAGUGGGAUCCGAGCUGCGUCUGCGGCCUAUACCACAGCUCACAGCAACACCGGAUCCUUAACCCACUGAGCAAGGCCAGGGAUUGAACCCGCAACCUCAUGGUUCCUAGUCGGCUUCGUUAACCACUGCGCCACGACGGGAACUCCAAGUUAGAGAAAUUCUUUAUUUCUCCUUCUAUUUUAAAUGAUAUUCUUGCUUGGUAGAGUAUUAUAGACUGCAAAUUUUUCCCUUUUAGAACUUUGAAUAUAUCUUCCCACUCUCUUCUGGCCUGUACUGUUUGUGUAGAGAAAUUGGCUGAUAGCCUUAUGGGGAUUCCCUUUUAAUUAACUCUUUGUUUUUCACUUUCUGUGUUUACAAUCCUCUCCUUAUAUUUAACUUUUGCUAUUUUUUAUUAUAAUAUGUCUUGGAGUGAGUCUGUUUGGGUUCAACUUACUCAGGGCCCUCUGUGCUUCCUGUAACUUGAUACCUGUUUCUUUUAGAUUUGGAAAAUUUUCAACAAUAAUUUCUUCAAAUAUAUUUGCAAUCCCCUUUUUACCUCUUUCUGGAAUCCCUGCUACACAUAGAUUGGCUCACUUUAUAUUACCCCAUAGAUCUCUUAUAUUGCUUUCAUGUUUUUUCAUUUGGUUUUCUGUCUGCUGUCUGCUGUCCUGAUUGGGUGAUUUCCACUAUUCUAUAUUCCAAGUCACUUACUCAUUCAUCUUCACUAUUCUGCUCUUAAAUGCCUUUAACUUAGCUUGCUUCUCUACAAAUGAAUUUUCUAAUUUUUCUUUGCUCCUCAUUAUAUUUUCUAGUUCCUUUCUAAAGUACUCUGCAUUACUGUUCAUAUCCACUCAAUUCUUUUUUUAAAUUUUUAAUGAUUUUUAUUUUUCUACUCUGAAUUCUUUGAUAGCUGUUCUUAAUUCCUUCAGAAUUUUCACUAUCUCCUUUUUGAACUUGGUGUCUUUUCAACUACAGAGGUCUGUUUCACUCUUUGCUGCUUCAGGUGAAUUUUCCUGUUAUUUAAACUGGUAAUGGUUCCUGAGCUUCUUCAUUUUGCAUAUAUUUUUCUUAAUCUGUGAGUUUAGGGAAAACAACUACUGUAAUCUUGGAGGCCUAUUUAUAUGUGAGAGCACCCCUGGGUAGUUUGUGAGGGCUUACUAUUUAUUUAUUUAUUUUUUUUAUUUUGGGGGUAUGAGGGCUGCCUUUUGGUUUGGAUGCUUGCUGUCUCUUGCCUUAGUGUGUGCAAGCUAUUAUCCCCUUGAUAAGGGGUGUGCUGGUAUAUGGCCUGGGUGUACUUCCUGGGAGAUGGAGGCAGUGGGCAGGGCCUGUAGCCAGUGCCUGGUUGCUGGACCCUUGACAGUGGUUAGGACCCACAGGGCGGUGACGCAGGCUCCUCCUGAUUGCAGGGCCCUGGGAAGUGUCAGUGACCCCCAGGCAGGUGUAGGUGAUGCCUGGAGUCAUUGGCAGUGGCUACAGCAGGGUGUGUGUUCUCCCAGAGGAGUGAGAGCAAUAAUGGGUGGCAUUCAGUUGCAGUGCCCUCUUCUGCAGCAUCCCCUGAGGUGACUGAGACUGCAGGUGGUGCCUGUUCAUAGGCCCCAGUGGUGGCAGGCCAGGCCUACCUCUGGAGUUUGAGAUGGCUGUGGCAAUUUGCCCCCUAUGCUUGUAGCCCACACAAGAGGCACCCAAUCACGUGAGAGCCCCCGUGUGUGCAGAGAAAGAUAUUCCUAUGGCAGUCCUGCCCCUCCUCCUCCUCUUGCCCUCCCUAACAAUGGUGGCUUACUUCUCCUGGGGCCCAGGCCUCCUCCCACACUCCAUGGUUGUGGCACUCUACUCCCCAGCCCAUGGCACACCACUCCCCAGCCCAUGGCAUGCUGCUUUCCAGCCCAGGGCCCUCCACUCCCCAGCCCCUUGGGCUGUCUCCACACAGCCAACCCUCGUCCUCUCCCCAGAACUAACCUCUGUAGCCUGAGUCUCAGCAUCCAGCCGCCACCUGAGCAUCUCGGGCUGUGGUGUCCAGGGGCAGUGGUACUGAUGGUUUGUGUGGCUCUCUUUCUGCUUUGCCCUCCUCAGUCCAGCUGCUGUGCUUUUUUCUGAGGCUUUGAGGUUCCCUCUCAAUCUCGGCUGAUCUCCCAAUCAGUUAGGUGGCCUCCCACGGUGCAGAUUGUUUUCCUAUUUCAUGGCUCCCUCUCAGGAGUGCUGGUCCUGUCCUGAUUCCUUCUUUUUCUCUUCUCUCUUUCUUUUUUUCUGUUUGUUCUACCCAGUUAAUCUGGAGGGUUCCUUGCCCUUUUUGGAGGUUUAAGGUCUUCUGCCAGCCUUCAGUAGAUGUUCUGUGCAAAUCGUUCUACACAUAGAUGUCUUGUUUUGUUUUUUGAUGUGUUUGUGGGAGAAGGUAAGCACCACAUCUUACUCCUCUGCCAUCAUUGGAGAUCACAUGUUAAAAAUUGAUCCAUGAAGGGUUGUAAAGCUACUUUGCUUCCACCUUGGUGGAUUACUGUCUGUCGUUAGGAUAAGUGACUUCAGAGCUAAGGCUAAUUUUUACAGGUUGGACAUUCAUACCUUUCUCAGGGCUUACUGUGUCCCAAACUGCAGGCUUUACCAGUUGUAGAACAUGGGAAUAGGCCCUUGUUCUUCCAGCUGAUUUGUUUUAGGGUCAAGAUUAAGGGGCUUCUUGGGGCCUCCUAACCAAAAAGGGGGCCCAGAAGGUUCAAAGGGGGCCCAGAAGGUCUCUCCCUGGUAGUGGGGUAGGACAGUCAGGCACAACCAAAAGGGCAUGUGUGAUCAAAUGCUGUUCAAAUUGGCAAGUGAGGGGCCCAGUGAAGUAAUGGGUGUGAAGUUUUCUGUUGACACCAGUCACUGUACAGCUUUUGGAGGAGAGAGACCCAGUGUGAGAAAUCAGGACAGAGUACAUGGCUUCCAUAUCAUUUCAAAAAUUGAUUUUCUUACCUGUCACAUCAAGGAUCGCCCGGAGCUCCUUGAUGGAUUUAGACAUCUCAUGGCACGGGUUGGGUCUCUGGGCACCAGAAUCCCUGGGCCGCCUCCAUCAUCCAGCAUGGCCACCUCAAGAGUGGGAGUCCCCCUCCCCCUUUGGGACUGGGAAUAGUCCCAUCUUCAUUGAUCUGUUGGUUUGCAGACUGGCCAUGGACCAGGGGGCUUUCUGCACUUGGGGGCCCAGUGGCUGGCUGACUUACCUCUGAAGCGUUCUCCCUUGCUGGUUUUAUCUCCAGGUCGAUGGUUAUACUUCCCUGGCUCCUUGGGUUGUCCUGAGGUUGCCAGGCUUGGCUAAUAGCAACUGCCAUCAGUUUAGCCUGAGCCCUAGCCUGCCUGUUUUCAUGCUGGUUUCUCUCUUCCCCCUCAGCUUGAUCUCGAUUAUGAAAUACCCCCAAAAGCACCUCUAGUAGUUGUGGUAUAGGAGUUCGUGGGCCUAAUUUUAAUUUUUGAAGUUUCGUCCUAAUAUCAGGGGGCCAACUGGCUGAUAAAAUGUUCUCCCAGCAGGGCUUGACCCUGGAGGGAGGGAUAAAUGUUAGUAAACUUUCUAAAAGCCACCACAAGCCAUCCCUGAAAGAGGGCUGGGUUUUCUUUUUCUUCUUGGGCCACUCCUUUAACCUUUUUGUAGUUAACUGACUUGCUGAUACACUUUCUCAUCCCUUCCUGUAUACGCUGGAUCAUGUGUAUCCUGGCUUCUGUUCCCUCCAGGAAUUGUAAUCCUAACAGGGCUUCUGAUUAGGGAUUGAGUCUCCGUCCAUAACAGAACGUUGGGGUUGGUCCUUGGCAAGCUGGUUGGACCUUGGACUUCUGCCCAAAUUCAGUUUUUUCCCAGGACUGCAGCAAGUGGAUAGGACUGUUUAGACAUCCUUCCAAAUUAAAUCAGAGGCCACAGAGUUCCCAUUGUGGCGCAGCGGAAAUGAUCUGACUAGGAACCAUGAGGUUGUUUGAUCCCUGGCCUUGCUCAGUGGGUUAAGGAUCCGGCGUUGCUGUGUGCUGGGGUGUAGGCCAGCAGCUACAGCUCUGAUUCGACCCCUAGCCUAGAAACAUUCAUAUGCCGCAUGUGCAGCACUGAAAAAAAAAAAGAAAGAAAGAAAAAGAAAAGGGAAUAUAGUUGGAGUGUUUCUGACUCCUCAGGCUUUUGAUUACAGGAGCCACAGAGAGCAGAAUUUUAGUAAAGGACCAUGAAGGCUUGAACACAGGGAACCUCGGGCUAUUUUCCCAUCUUGUGACAGUAAAGAUCCAAUUGCAUGGUGGUAUUAUAAUUUAGAGACCCAUUUUUAGGCCAUUUUUUUUCAAUGUAUAUAAAGGCCAGGCAGUAGAGUUUUAAGUUUUCCCCUUUUUAGCCCAUCGGUUUAAAAAAAAAAAAAAAUUUCCAUUUCUUUUUA